AGAACGAACGCUGGCGGCAUGCCUAACACAUGCAAGUCGAACGAGCCCUUCGGGGCUAGUGGCGCACGGGUGCGUAACGCGUGGGAAUCUGCCCUUAGGUUCGGAAUAACAGUUAGAAAUGACUGCUAAUACCGGAUAAUGACCUUCGGUCCAAAGAUUUAUCGCCUAGGGAUGAGCCCGCGUAGGAUUAGCUUGUUGGUGAGGUAAGAGCUCACCAAGGCGACGAUCCUUAGCUGGUCUGAGAGGAUGAUCAGCCACACUGGGACUGAGACACGGCCCAGACUCCUACGGGAGGCAGCAGUGGGGAAUAUUGGACAAUGGGCGAAAGCCUGAUCCAGCAAUGCCGCGUGAGUGAUGAAGGCCCUAGGGUUGUAAAGCUCUUUUGCCAGGGAUGAUAAUGACAGUACCUGGAGAAUAAGCUCCGGCUAACUCCGUGCCAGCAGCCGGC
rnacentral:rRNA from 1 species